UACGAAGGGGGCUAGCGUUGUCCGGAAUCAUUGGGCGUAAAGCGCGCGUAGGUGGCCUCAUAAGUCCGCUGUGAAAGUCCAAGGCUCAACCUUGGAAAGCCGGUGGAUACUGUGAGGCUAGAGUACGGAAGAGGCGAGUGGAAUUCCUGGUGUAGCGGUGGAAUGCGCAGAUAUCAGGAGGAACACCAAUAGCGAAGGCAGCUCGCUGGGACGUUACUGACACUGAGGCGCGAAAGCGUGGGGAGCGAACAGG
rnacentral:rRNA from 1 species